GAGGCGGCCUAGAAUGGACAGGG
rnacentral:miRNA from 1 species